AACGAACGCUGGCGGCAUGCCUAACACAUGCAGGUCGAACGAGACCUUCGGGUCUAGUGGCGCACGGGUGCGUAACGCGUGGGAACCUGCCCUUAGGUUCGGAAUAACUCUCCGAAAGGGGUGCUAAUACCGGAUAAUGUCUUCGGACCAAAGAUUUAUCGCCUUUGGAUGGGCCCGCGUUGGAUUAGCUAGUUGGUAGGGUAAAAGCCUACCAAGGCGACGAUCCAUAGCUGGUCUGAGAGGAUGAUCAGCCACACUGGGACUGAGACACGGCCCAGACUCCUACGGGAGGCAGCAGUGGGGAAUAUUGGACAAUGGGCGAAAGCCUGAUCCAGCAAUGCCGCGUGAGUGAUGAAGGCCUUAGGGUUGUAAAGCUCUUUUACCCGGGAUGAUAAUGACAGUACCGGGAGAAUAAGCGCCGGCUAACUCCGUG
rnacentral:rRNA from 1 species